GCCAAACAUGCUGAAAAAUAUCCCUGCAGCUUCAAUUUCCUUCAUUGUCUAUGAAAACGUCCUAAACCUGCUAAAAUUGUCUCGGAGAGAGUAUUAGUUCUUUUACAUCCUUUUGCCUCCCAUUCAUGCUGUAGCACUAGGAUUGUACACUAGUGAAACAAUAUCUGGAAAAAGAACACUCACAUGUUAGACGGGACUACAAAUAGAAGAAUCACGAUGCCACUUGAGAGUAUGUAGAAAGUGGACAAUUUAAUGGCUAGUGUACUUGUACAAUAUCUAUAGUCUUUGUAAUUUAUCAGAAAAGAAAUUAUCUUUUGAGUCUUUGUUCAAGUACUCACGAAGCCGCUGCUGUAGCAACAAUAUCGGAUGGAUACUAUGCUUUAACAUCUAAUAAUAAUGUCUCGGAACCAUAUUAGUUAAAAUGCAUGUUCUUGGUUGUUUCAAAAGGAAAACUCGGAGGCCCUCAAGGGUAUGCCCUAGUGGUUGAUGAAGAGGAAUGUGAAUCAUGAGAUCUCAAGUUCAAUUCCUAGCGGAGGCAAAAAAAAUCAGUGAUUUCUCCCAAUCUAUCCAAAUCUUGAUGAAUAGAGUUACCUGG
rnacentral:lncRNA from 1 species